UACAGAGGUCUCAAGCGUUGUUCGGAUUCAUUGGGCGUAAAGGGUGCGUAGGCGGCGCGGUAAGUCGGGUGUGAAAUUUCGAGGCUUAACUUCGAAACUGCAUUCGAUACUGCCGUGCUUGAGGACUGGAGAGGAGACUGGAAUUUACGGUGUAGCGGUGAAAUGCGUAGAUAUCGUAAGGAAGACCAGUGGCGAAGGCGGGUCUCUGGACAGUUCCUGACGCUGAGGCACGAAGGCCAGGGGGAGCGAACAGG
rnacentral:rRNA from 1 species